UAACAUCUUAAGCAGGUUCACUGAAAUCCAAAGACUUCAUCCAUGUUGUAGUUAAGGAAUCUGUCUAUAUUGGCUGCAGAUGGCUGUACAUAUUUUGUGCCAUUACAGGUGGUGACAAUUCCUGCAUGCCAAAAUGCCAAAAAUGUACAGAAUCUGUGGAAACUAGAGUUUUUUAAAAAAUGGAAGAACACUGAACAAUAAUAAAGUUGUACUGACAUUUAAA